rnacentral:rRNA from 1 species
UACAGAGGGUGCGAGCGUUAAUCGGAAUUACUGGGCGUAAAGCGUGCGUAGACGGCUAUUUAAGUCGGGUGUGAAAGCCCCGGGCUCAACCUGGGAAUUGCAUCCGAGACUGAGUAGCUAGGGUGCGGUAGAGGGAAGCGGAAUUUCCGGUGUAGCGGUAAAAUGCGUAGAUAUCGGAGGGAACAUCAGUGGCGAAAGCGGCUUCCUGGACCAGCACCGACGUUCAGGCACGAAGGCGUGGGGAGCAAACAGG